ensembl:lncRNA
ACAUCCCAAACACACUGUCCCCCCCGCAUCCCAAACACACUGUCCCCCCCACAUCCCAAACACACUGUCCCCCCCACAUCCCAAACACACUGCCCCCCACCCCUCCCGUUUUGUACAUACCUGACCCCCCUCCCCAUUUGUCUACACACAGAGUAGACACAAGUGUUCACACAGAGUUAGAUAGAGGACUAGAGGUAUGUACUGAUUGUUGCCAUUUAAAGGAUUGUUGUCAUUAUAAAGUAGGUGUCAACUAGGUGCGCAUUUCUGUGAGUUGUAAUUUGGGUAUUACAUGAAACAUUUUUAACGUUAUAUCACUACCAUCUAGUGGCCACUAUAAAUAAGUAACAAGGCUCCGGCACUUAAUGGCCAUGCUAAACCCCCAACAUUCACUUAAACACUUGUUCUCAUAAUCUCACAUAUGAAGGCGAGACCUGUAUCUAACUCUGUGUUCACCCCAUAUCUACCUGUUGUUCUCCUGACGUGUUUUAAAGAGUGUAAUUAUUUAUUGGUCCAGAAGAAGGAACAGCGUGUGAACGGUAGGGGAGGGGCAUUUUCUCCAUAUAGUAUUCUUCGUGUAGGUCAAAGCUAAGGUAUGGUGAAGUUUAUUUUUUUUUAGACAAAGAUGACACCAUUAGUCAUUCGGUGGGUUCCAUAAAACAAGGGGGUGCCGUGUUGACGCGUGCCGCCCAGCUCUCUGACUAAAGUGACAUCCUUGCACUCUUUUCUAGACCUUAACCUGUAGACUCUCCGGGAGUAUUUUUUGUGCUCAUAUCAGUUUUUGUACGCUCACCUUCAGUCUACGGAAGGAUGUCGGGUGUACGCACUCCACCUGUUCUGUUGCAAGGGUAUUUAACAGGUAGGGUCUUAGCGUUCUGAUAGCAAACUUUAGUUUUAGGACUUCUGUUUGGAAUAGUGAUUACACCCCAGACCACUACUGUUCUGACUUUCUCUUGGAUCAUAAGCACCUGAUCCUGCUGCAUUAGAAACAUUUCUGCCAGGGAGCUGGGUGAAUCACGAACAUUUGCUUGUUUACAGGUGACACUCUUCUGAAACAGUCAGUAAGGAAAACAACACCUACACUGUUUGAGUAGACCAGCCUGAUCUCGUGGGCACAAAUUGUUUUCCGUUUGAGUGAACAAAAGUGUGAAAACAGCAAUCGCUUUGGCAUCAUGAGGCUGGCGUGACUGACCUUACUGUUCAGAAACGACCCACAGAUACGAAAACGUGCACAAUCUGUGUUUUUUCAUUAGUGUCAGCAUAAACCCGCCAACAUCUAAAAUGUAACAUAUCUGUUUUGACUUGUCUCCUACAUUCAUUUUUAUGUGAAGGUAACUUUUGUAAGUACUGCAGUCAGUUAGUUACUGCAGGUAUAGAUUUUAAUAAAGUCAAUGUUCUUUUGUUCUACAUGCGCAAGACUGUUUGAAAAGAUUCAGCACCCUAUGACACUUGAUUAACUGCAUUCUGUGCUCUGCGUCAGUUCUAGGAAUGACAACCCAACUGUUUCCAUGGUGCCUAGGAUGGUGACGUCAUAGCUGAGAAUAUACACUGCCUUGCAAACAUAUUCAAGGCUCUGAACAAAUCUACCAUAUCACUGGAUUACAAAUGCUGGGAGACGAACACACACCCACCCACCCUGCAGGAAAGGAGCAGAAGGAUAAAACUUUUCGUCUUUCACACGCACACCCACGUAUUCUGAUGUCUCUUUGUCCUGUGGCUUUUAAUGUCGCUGUAAUAUGGAAGCCUGCAGAGGUUUGUGUGUGUAUGAGUCAUCGGUGGUCCCACCAGCUCUCUUCUCAUCGUCCUGAGCCAAGCCGACACAACAGGGUCACCCUGCACCUCAGGACACACGCCAGAGACCCAGCAUGUGAGAAGAGCUGCUGGCGGAGUAACUGGGAGCUUGUUCACAUGAUCCAGGCUGUCAGCUAGCCCAGUUGUUGCUGCUAGCUCAUCAUCCUAGCAGUUGUGGCUGUUUACCUCACAGUUGGCAGCAGAUUGGGACUGGGAGCUGGCUGGCUAACCGUAAUACAACCAGGUGGAUUCACACACACCCAGCAUCUCUGGGACAGUUGGAAAAGAGUUUGGGGAGCCACCGCGGGUUGUCCUUCUUGUUCGAAGGAUUUUUGGAAGGAGAAUGGGGUUGUGGGACGGAAGCUGUGCAGACAGCUCUGCUCAAGUCAAGCACCAACUGCGGAUGGCUUUGAGGUCAAAAUAGGAAUAUCCAAGUCAUGUGACUCGUCCACAUCUCUGCUAAUAGGCAAAAGUUUGAAAACACUUCAACAUUGAAUUAUCACUCUCUAUGUCCACCUGACAUUCCCUACUGGUCACUCCCUAUUAUCAGCCUUUUCUAGGCUAAAGUUCAAAAUGUAAAUGCACUGGAAAACAACAGCGUUUUGCCAUUAAAUACACCCUUUCAGCUAGCCCACCACUGUUUUUUAUUGAAAGGUAUGUUUGAGAUAAAAUAUUAUUUAUGUACGGACAAGUGGCAACUCGUGGAAUUCAUCUUGCCCCACUGACCA